rnacentral:misc_RNA from 1 species
GAACAAUCACAUAAUGGUCCAUCAAAUAAGAAUUAUUUACAUUGUGAUUACUGUGAGAAAUCCCAGCAUACAAACGAACAUUGCUGGAAGUUACAUGGUCGCCCAUCCAAAGGGAGUGAACGGAAACGGACAAGCUUAGGAAGACCACAACAAAUUUAUCUGAGACAAUAGAAUUUUUUGAAGACAUUGCCCCUACUGCCACCACCAGGAUCCUCUCCAAUGAAGAAGUAUAAUCCUUAAGGCAU